rnacentral:rRNA from 1 species
UACGUAGGGUGCAAGCGUUGUCCGGAAUUAUUGGGCGUAAAGAGCGUGUAGGCGGCCCGAUUAGUCCGCUGUGAAAGUCCAGGGCUCAACCCUGGAAUGCCGGUGGAUACUGUCGGGCUAGAGUCCGGAAGGGGCGAGUGGAAUUCCUGGUGUAGCGGUGAAAUGCGCAGAUAUCAGGAGGAACACCAAUGGCGAAGGCAGCUCGCUGGGACGUGACUGACGCUGAGGCACGAAAGCGUGGGGAGCAAACAGG